AUACACUGACUGUAAUGUACAAGAAAAUAUGACAAUAUUCACUGGAGUUAAGCCUUUCCAUCCGGGACGCAGAUGUCAGAGUCACCGUAUGGAAAGGGUCAAGAGGAAAUGGAAGAGGAUUAAGAGGUUUAGAAGAGGAUUAAGAGGUUUAGAAGAGGAUUAAGAGGAAAUGGAAGAGGAUUAAGAGGUUCAGAAGAGGAUUAAGAGGAAAUGGAAGAGGAUUAAGUGGUUUAGAAGAGGAUUAAGAGGAAAUGGAAGAGGAUUAAGAGGAAAUGGAAGAGGAUUAAGAGGUUUAGAAGAGGAUUAAGAGGAAAUGGAAGAGGAUUAAGAGGUUUAGAAGAGGAUUAAGAGGAAAUGGAAGAGGAUUAAGAGGUUUAGAAGAGGAUUAAGAGGAAAUGGAAGAGGAUUAAGAGGUUUAGAAGAGGAUUAAGAGGAAAUGGAAGAGGAUUAAGAGGAAAUGGAAGAGGAUUAAGAGGUUUAGAAGAGGAUUAAGAGGAAAUGGAAGAGGAUUAAGAGGUUUAGAAGAGGAUUAAGAGGAAAUGGAAGAGGAUUAAGAGGUUUAGAAGAGGAUUAAGAGGAAAUGGAAGAGGAUUAAGAGGAAAUGGAAGAGGAUUAAGAUGUUUAGAAGAG